UUCCGGUUGAUCCUGCCGGACCUGACUGCUAUCGGAUUGAUACUAAGCCAUGCGAGUCAUUGUAGCAAUACAAGGCAGACGGCUCAGUAACGCGUAGUCAACCUACCCUAUGGACGGGAAUAACCUCGGGAAACUGAGUAUAAUGCCCGAUAGAACACUAUACCUGGAAUGGUUUGUGUUCCAAAUGAUUUAUCGCCGUAGGAUGGGACUGCGGCCUAUCAGUUUGUUGGUGAGGUAAUGGCCCACCAAGACUAUUACAGGUACGGGCUCUGAGAGGAGUGGCCCGGAGAUGGGUACUGAGACACGGACCCAGGCCCUAUGGGGCGCAGCAGGCGAGAAAACUUUGCAAUGUGCGAAAGCACGACAAGGUUAAUCCGAGUGGUUUCUGCUAAAGGAACCUUUUGUUAGUCGUAGAACCACUAACGAAUAAGGGGUGGGCAAGUUCUGGUGUCAGCCGCCGCGGUAAAACCAGCACCUCAAGUGGUCAGGAUGAUUAUUGGGCCUAAAGCAUCCGUAGCCUGAUCUGUAAGUUUUCGGUUAAAUCUGUACGCUCAACGUACAGGCUGCCGGGAAUACUGCAGAUCUAGGGAGUGGGAGAGGUAGACGGUACUCGGGAGGAAGUGGUAAAAUGCUUUGAUCUCUCGAUGACCACCUGUGGCGAAGGCGGUCUACCAGAACACGUCCGACGGUGAGGGAUGAAAGCUGGGGGAGCAAACCGGAUUAGAUACCCGGGUAGUCCCAGCUGUAAACUAUGUAAACUCAGUGAUGCAUUGGCUUGUGGCCAAUGCAGUGUUGCAGGGAAGCCGUUAGGUUUACCGCCUGGGAAGUACGUACGCAAGUAUGAAACUUAAAGGAAUUGGCGGGGGAGCACCACAAGGGGUGAAGCCUGCGGUUCAAUUGGAGUCAACGCCGGAA
rnacentral:rRNA from 1 species